rnacentral:tRNA from 1 species
UAUGAUUUAGUUUAAUUAGAAUAACUAAUUGUCAGUUAGUGGGUGGUUUUCCUUUCGUGUUUAGGU